AUGAACGCUAGCUACAGGCUUAACACAUGCAAGUCGAGGGGCAUCAGGAAGAAAGCUUGCUUUCUUUGCUGGCGACCGGCGCACGGGUGAGUAACACGUAUCCAGCCUGCCCUUUACUCGGGGAUAGCCUUUCGAAAGAAAGAUUAAUACCCGAUGGCAUAAUGAUUCCGCAUGGUUUCAUUAUUAAAGGAUUCCGGUAAAGGAUGGGGAUGCGUUCCAUUAGGUUGUUGGUGAGGUAACGGCUCACCAAGCCUUCGAUGGAUAGGGGUUCUGAGAGGAAGGUCCCCCACAUUGGAACUGAGACACGGUCCAAACUCCUACGGGAGGCAGCAGUGAGGAAUAUUGGUCAAUGGGCGCUAGCCUGAACCAGCCAAGUAGCGUGAAGGAUGAAGGCUCUAUGGGUCGUAAACUUCUUUUAUAUAAGAAUAAAGUGCAGUAUGUAUACUGUUUUGUAUGUAUUAUAUGAAUAAGGAUCGGCUAACUCCGUGCCAGCAGCCGCGGUAAUACGGAGGAUCCGAGCGUUAUCCGGAUUUAUUGGGUUUAAAGGGAGCGUAGGUGGACUGGUAAGUCAGUUGUGAAAGUUUGCGGCUCAACCGUAAAAUUGCAGUUGAUACUGUCAGUCUUGAGUACAGUAGAGGUGGGCGGAAUUCGUGGUGUAGCGGUGAAAUGCUUAGAUAUCACGAAGAACUCCGAUUGCGAAGGCAGCUCACUGGACUGCAACUGACACUGAUGCUCGAAAGUGUGGGUAUCAAACAGGAUUAGAUACCCUGGUAGUCCACACAGUAAACGAUGAAUACUCGCUGUUUGCGAUAUACAGUAAGCGGCCAAGCGAAAGCAUUAAGUAUUCCACCUGGGGAGUACGCCGGCAACGGUGAAACUCAAAGGAAUUGACGGGGGCCCGCACAAGCGGAGGAACAUGUGGUUUAAUUCGAUGAUACGCGAGGAACCUUACCCGGGCUUAAAUUGCAGUGGAAUGAUGUGGAAACAUGUCAGUGAGCAAUCACCGCUGUGAAGGUGCUGCAUGGUUGUCGUCAGCUCGUGCCGUGAGGUGUCGGCUUAAGUGCCAUAACGAGCGCAACCCUUAUCUUUAGUUACUAACAGGUCAUGCUGAGGACUCUAGAGAGACUGCCGUCGUAAGAUGUGAGGAAGGUGGGGAUGACGUCAAAUCAGCACGGCCCUUACGUCCGGGGCUACACACGUGUUACAAUGGGGGGUACAGAAGGCAGCUAGCGGGUGACCGUAUGCUAAUCCCAAAAUCCUCUCUCAGUUCGGAUCGAAGUCUGCAACCCGACUUCGUGAAGCUGGAUUCGCUAGUAAUCGCGCAUCAGCCACGGCGCGGUGAAUACGUUCCCGGGCCUUGUACACACCGCCCGUCAAGCCAUGGGAGCCGGGGGUACCUGAAGUACGUAACCGCAAGGAUCGUCCUAGGGUAAAACUGGUGACUGGGGCU
rnacentral:rRNA from 1 species